rnacentral:rRNA from 1 species
CAAUAGCGUAUAUUAAAGUUGUUGCAGUUAGAACGCUCGUAGUCGGAUUUCGGGGCGGGCCGACCGGUCUGCCGAUGGGUACGCACUGGUCGGCGCGUCCUUCCUUCCGGAGACCGUGCCUACUCUUAACUGAGCGGGGACGGGAGACGGAACGUUUACUUUGAAAAAAUCAGAGUGUUUCAAGCAGGCAGCUCGCUCUUGCAUGGAUUAGCAUGGGAUAAUGAAAUAGGACUUUGGUGCUAUUUUGUUGGUUUCGAACACCGAAGUAAUGAUGAGAAGGGACAGUCAGGGGCACUCGUAUUCCGCCGAGAGAGGUGAAAUUCUCAGACCAGCGGAAGACGAACCACUGCGAAAGCAUUUGCCAGGGAUGUUUUCACUGA